AAAGAACAACAACAAAAAAACCAUGGGUUUCGCAAUACCGGCUAAUUCUAUCUGAAGAUGCAUCUUUCCAAUCUGGAUGAAUUUUUUUUCAAGAUUUAAAGGUUGCACCUGGUGCAAUAUUUCCCGGUGUCACGAAUGACAUUUACUCAACAUUCUGUUUAUGCAACGCCUAAGCAUUUUGAUGUUUGUUUUGCAUAUAAAUGCACCACAUAGGAGCUGCAGAUCAGAAUAACCACCACAAUGGAUUACUUGAAGCUCCUAUUUAUUUGGCUGAUCUUUCUCUUCGUGAUACAUGUCGUGGAUUCAAUGGGGUAUCCAUGGGGUCUCAAAUGGGGAUUGGACUAUGCAGGCAAAACCUGAAAUUUUGUGUCUCAGAUUUUUAAAAAAAAUUGGAAUAACAGCUUAAAGUGUUGUUCACAUUAGACGUCCUCUAAGUGAAUUUAUAGUUCAGAACAAUGGAAUGUCAUCGAGAAGUUGCAAACAGCCCAAAACAACGAGAAUAUGUAACAAACGAUUCCUCAUUCAAUUGUGAACAUACCUAUAAUGAAUGUAACAGGGAGUGCAUGUAUUGAUGCUUGUGAAUUUAAUCUUUCAAUAUUGAGCACAACACAAAAACAAUAAAUGUCAUUUUUAUCAGUGCGAAGGAUGCAAAUUAUGUGUCAGAUAUAUUAUGAAAGUAUAUGUAAUCUGCUUGUAUAAUGUAAUAAAAGUUAAUUGUCAUGUCAUGGGCAAAUGGUUUGUAGAUGUGUUAUAUUUCUCCGAGUUGGCAGAAUUUAAUUUUAUAUCAUAUUCUAUGACGAUAUGGAAAUUGAGAAUUUUAAUAUUGAAUACUGGUGUUAGAAGGGAGAGAUAUGCGUGGAAACUCUACAUGUUUAUUAAAGAAGAAAAACUG